GACGAACGCUGGCGGCGUGCUUAACACAUGCAAGUCGAACGGAAAGGCCCUGCUUUUGUGGGGUGCUCGAGUGGCGAACGGGUGAGUAACACGUGAGUAACCUGCCCUUGACUUUGGGAUAACUUCAGGAAACUGGGGCUAAUACCGGAUAGGAGCUACUGAUGCAUGGUGGGGGUUGGAAAGUUUCGGCGGUUGGGGAUGGACUCGCGGUUUAUCAGCCUGUUGGUGGGGUAGUGGCUUACCAAGGCUAGGAAGGGUAGCCGGCCUGAGAGGGUGACCGGCCACACUGGACUGGAGCGACGGUCAAGACGCAUACGGGAGGCAGAAGUAGGGACUUUUGAGAAAUGGGCGAAAGCCGGCCGGAGCACCGCCGGGUGAGUAACGAAGGUCUCCGGAUGGAAAAACUCUGUUAUUAGGGAAGAACAAAUGUGUAAGUAAAUAUGCACGCAUUGACGGUACCUAAUCAGAAAGCCACGGCUAACUACGUG
rnacentral:rRNA from 1 species